UACGGAGGGUGCAAGCGUUAAUCGGAAUUACUGGGCGUAAAGAGUGCGUAGGUGGUUGGAUAAGUUAUCUGUGAAAUCCCUGGGCUUAACCUGGGCAGGUCAGAUAAUACUGUUUAACUCGAGUAUGGGAGAGGGUAGUGGAAUUUCCGGUGUAGCGGUGAAAUGCGUAGAGAUCGGAAGGAACACCAGUGGCGAAGGCGGCUACCUGGCCUAAUACUGACACUGAGGCACGAAAGCGUGGGGAGCAAACAGG
rnacentral:rRNA from 2 species